AUGGCAGCUGAAGCAUUACUUACCGUUGUCCUUGACCGUUUGGCCACGAUCGCCCUUGACAAGGUCGGAGAAGAGUUCAGACUGGUCACUGGUGUUGAGAAAGAAGUCAAGAGCCUCACCCGCAAUCUGGAAGCCAUUAGAGCUGUGCUGGAGGAUGCAGAGCAGAGGCAAGUGACGGAGGCCACCGUCAGACGCUGGCUGAGUGAACUCACUGAAGUUUCCUUCGAAAUGGAUGACGUGCUGGAUGAGUGGAUCACUGAAGUUCUCAAGCGCCAAAUGGAGAAACAAGAACAACAAGGUGAAACUGCUCUUGUUGUCGCUACUAAGAAGAAGGUAUGCUUCCCUUGCCUUUCCUCUUGCUUUUAUGUCGGCCAAGUCAAUCGGUUAAUGCUUCGUCGUGAUAUUGCUGUGAGGAUCAAAGAGCUAAAUGAAAGAGUAGCUUCGAUUGAUAAGGAAAAACAAAGUUUUACCUUCCAAAACACCACCACAAGGGUUCCCGAACUACCUCAACGGCAAAAAACUACUUCUCUUCCCAAUGUUAAAACAUUUGGUCGAGAUAGUGAAAAAAAUCUCAUAGUUAGCAAGCUGCUAAGUGAGGGUAGUCAAGAAAAAGAGUGUCCACUUAUCAUCCCUAUUGUAGGGAUGGGGGGAAUGGGGAAAACUACUCUUGCCCAGCUUGUCUGUAAUGAUCAAAAUGUUAUAUCUCAUUUUGACGAGAGAAUAUGGGUCUGUGUCUCAGACCCUUUUGAAGAGAUCAAGAUUGCUCAAGCUAUCAUUGAAGAAUUAGACAAAGAUAAUCAUUCAAAAAACUCGACUGUGUUGCAAACCCUAACUCAAUGUAUGCAUAGAUUGAUUGAGGGUAAAAGGUUCCUCCUUGUUUUAGAUGAUGUUUGGAGUCCAAAACUUUCUCAAUGGGAAGAAUUAAUUAAACCUUUACGUAAUGGUGCUAUGGGCAGUAGAGUAUUGGUGACCACUCGAAAAGAGGAGACUAUUGUUUUGAUGAAAGCAAUAACUCAAAUGAUCUCUUUGAAGGAGUUGGGGGAAUCAUGUUGUUUGUCAUUGUUCUAUUACAAUGCAGACAUAAAUGAGAGUAGUGUCUCCAGAGAGUUUAACGAUAUCGGGUUAGAGAUUGUUAAGAGGUGCAAUGGGUUGCCUCUUGCUGCAAAGACAUUAGGAAGCCUCAUGCGUAAUAAGAAAAAGAUUCAUGAAUGGUGAGCUCUUUUAAAGAGUAAGACAUGGGAAUUGAAAGAAAUUCAACAUGAUGUUUUUCGACCCCUAUUACUAAGUUAUCAUGAUUUGACUCCAGCGACCAAAUGUUGUCUUUUGUACUGUGCUAUAUUUCCAAAAGACUAUGUGUAUAAUAAGAAUAAUUUGGUUGAGCUGUGGAUGUCGCAAAAUUAUUUGAAUGACAAUGGAAGUAAAGAAAAGAUGAUAGUUGGUCAAAAUUAUUUUGAUGAGUUAGUAAUGCGGUCAUUCUUUCAAGAUAUUAAGGUAGAUGAGAGGAAUGGAAACAUAGAAUGCAAAAUUCAUGAUAUUGUUCAUGACUUUUUGCAAUAUUUGACCAAGAAUGAAUGUUUAAUGUUAGACGUUGAGAUGGAUGAUACGAAGAGAAAAAAGGUGUCAUAUGAUAAAAUCCGUCAUUUUACUUCAAUGCAGUCAACGGACAGAGAGUUUUUGGAACAUUUUCUCCCUGAUUGUAAAAAAUUACGUACAUUGGUAUAUUCAUAUUCAAACUCCAUUCCCAUUGAUGCAAGGGUAGAGAUGAUAGCUGAAUUGAAAAGCCUUAGGACAUUAAUAUUGUUGCAAUGGCCUUUCAAAGAAAUUCCUGAGACGAUGGGUGGGUUGAUACACUUAAGGUAUCUUGAUUUAUCCGGUAAUAGUAAGUUGAAAGAAUUACCGAGCGCCGUGGGUAGCUUAUACAACCUGCAAACCUUGCGACUUGAAGGAUGUCGGAGUCUAACAAGAAUAGAUGUGCGGAGACUGAUUAACUUGAGGCAUCUCUAUGUUGAAGACUGCUUCUCACUGAGGUUAAUUAAAGGGAUUGAGAAAUUAACACAUAUGCAAAGACUGGAUUGGUUUUAUGUCCGAGACGGUGGUGAUGAAGGAGGAAACAAGUUGGAACAUCUGACAAACUUGAACCAGCUUCAAGGGUGUCUUGUGAUUGAUAUGGAUAGGUUUCCCAGUACGGCGGAGAAUAAUGCAGCAAUUAUGAAGAAUAAGGCUCACAUCUUGGAUUUGUAUCUAUUUUUCGCGGGCAGAAGCCGCAGUACUGAAGAUGACCGACAAAUUAUGAAUAGGUUAGAGCCGCAUCCAAGUCUGGAAUCUCUGAUCAUAUUUCGGUAUGAAGGCGGCACAUUUUCCGAUUGGUUGUCGUCUUUACACAGCUUGAGAGUCCUCCGCCUUAGAGACUGCCUAAGUUGUGAGAUUUUGCCUUCUUUAGGGAAACUGGCGUCCCUUGAAUCAUUGGAAAUUUUGGGACUCCAUAAAGUCUCAAAGGUAGGAGUUGAGUUUCUGGGAAUAGAACAAGGGCAAACCUCCUCCUCGUCCUCCGUUUUCGUGUCAUUCCCCAAGCUCAAAAAACUCACCAUCGAAGGCAUGGGGUCAUGGGAAGAGUGGGAAGGAGUGGAGGAGGGGAAUUCUGAGAAUAUUACAAUCAUGCCAUUCCUCGAUCAGUUGACAAUUGAACGCUGCGAGAGGCUAAAAGCACUGCCGGACUUCCUGUGGAAGACACCUCUACAGAAAUUGAACAUCAGCAACUCUCCAAUUCUCAAAAACCUUUACGGACAAGAAAAUGGCGAGGAGCGGACCAAGAUUUCUUACAUCCCAAGCAUCCAGAUACAAGAUACAUGUUGCAUCUGCUGA